rnacentral:rRNA from 1 species
AUGGAGUCCGUUAGGCACGUUGUAUUGUCAAAGAACUAUGCUGAGCUAAUAGAUGAAGCAUGCAAAAGUGAUGAGACAGCCAGGGUGGCAGAAAAGCACAAGAAGGCCCUGAAAAGAGAGCUUGAUGAGAUCAAGAAGAGAAAUGCUGAAGAAGCCUUACAUCAGUUCCCCCGCACCUCAAGUGUGCCUUCGUCCACGGGUCCAUCCUUUGAAAACUCAGAGGUAGGUUCUGGAACAGCAAGCAUGCAGACUCAGGUCAGGAACCCACCUCGUUCUGUCACAAAAGGGCAUCCAAAAGAGAUAUGA